UGUAGUCGCUUUUUUACUUCACUGCCUAGCUUCAAGGACCUAGGAGGAUUCCCCAGACGCGGGACCUAAGUUAAAAUACCGAGAAUUACAGGAAUUGGAGAGCGCCCAGAAUGAGGGGGUGGAGCUUUGCGGAUCCUCUGCUUGGCAUUUAUGUCUGUGCCAGCUGUGCUAAAGGUUGUUCUUUUAAGCACACACCACUACCAAAUCCCAGCCAGGAUGUCAGGACAUAUAUUACCUGAUUUCCAUGUCACUCACAAGAACCGGUUGGAUGAGAUGAGCAGCAACAUAAGAUGUGACUCUGACGCUGUAACCUCUGCUCUGUUGGGGUGACUGUUUUCACAGUUAAAUGAUACGAGUGCCUUGAGUUUCCUGCAAAUGAGUUUUCUGCAAAUGAGUUGCUCUUCGGAGCACAAUGCGAACGGAAUCCUUUCUCAAAGUUCCUUUGCACCUUUUCGGAAAGGAGAGGAGACAGGGCUUCAUGUUCCCUUGAAUCAUUUAUUCCAGGGCCAGUUCUAAAAAGUUUCACUAUUGUGGGGAAGCCAGGAGAGGGUACUUUGAAAAGAAAAAGAAAACCAUCUUCCCCUGCCCUCGCCCAGGAGCACAAUUCACUUGUGACAUUUUGCUAGACUUAAAAAGCCCUAAGAGUUUUCUUCCUUAACAGAGUUACAUUCCUAGCACUUCAAGGAUUCCUGGGAGGUCACUUGUCACUCUCAGAAGCGAACAAGUGGUGAAAAUACUAUCUGUGUUCCCAGAGCACCUCUAUGGCAUUAGGAAAGAGCUUUGCACUGGACUCACCCCCAGCACCUAAAAAAAGAAAAAAAAAAGGCAUGAAUUCCCUAAUGAGAUUUUCUGCCACACUGGUACACUGAUCUCGUCUGAUUUCUUUCUGCUAACCUAUUCAAAAUGAGAACUAAUUAGUUUCUCAUCCUUGGUACUAUUGACAUUUGGGGCCAGAUAAUUCUUUAUUGCAGGGGGCUGUCCUACACAUUGAAGGGGGUUUAGCAGCAUCCCUGACUUGUACCUACUAGAUGCCAAUAGAGCACCUCACCCCCUAGUUGGGACAACCAAAAAUGUCUCCAGAGUCUCCAGAUAUUGCCAAAUGCCCCUGGGGGAGGGGCGGGCAAAAUCACCCCCAAUUUAGAACCACUGGGUUAUACCGAUGCCUUGCAAGUGAACAAAUAUUGGGGGAGCACUUGUUAAGUCUGAGGCUCUGGGCUAAGGAUAAAAAACGUUGGUGCCUUCGUGGCAGUCACAGUAUUGACACAGAGGGUUAAAAUUAAGUAAAGUUAGAGAGAACAUAAACACCACUGGUUGAAAUAAAGGAGUGUGAGGAGGAGAAAGAGGACCCAUUGGGGUGGGAGAACACUCAGGGCACCUCACAGAGGGUGACAUUUGUGAGAGGCCUACAUGGACAGAGGUCUGAGGAGGGGGUAUAACCAUUCCAAGUGAAAGUAAUGGAAACUCAGCGACUACAGAAUGAUUGGAGAACAGCAAGUAGUCUAGUGCGGCUCAGCCUUAGGGUUUGAAUGAGGAAUAAUGAGAAAUGGAGCUAGGAAAAUAGUUUAGGAACUAUUUAGCCAUAAAAAGGAAUGAAGUGCUGAUGCAUGCCUCAACAUAGAGGAACCUUGAAAACAUUAUACUUUAAAAAAAAAAUUUAUUUACUUAUGUAUUUGGCUGCGUCGGGUCUUAGUUGCGGCACACGGGAUCUUUCAGUCGCAGCAUGUGAACUCUUAGUUGCGGCAUGCAGGAUCUAGUUCCCUGACCAGGGAUUGAACCCCGGCCCCCUGCAUCGGGAGCACGGAGUCUUAGCCACCGGACCACCAGGGAAGUCCCGACAACAUUAUACUAAGUUAAAGAAACCAGUCCCCAAAGACCACACAUUGUAUGAUGCUAUUUAUAUGAAAUGUCCAGAAUAGGCAAACCCAUAGAGACAGAAAGCAGAUUAGUAAUUGCCAGAGGCUGGGAGGAGGGGGAAUGGGAAAUGAUUGCUAAUGGGUUUAGGGUUCCUCUUUGGGGUAAUGAAAAUGUUCUGGAAUUAGAUAGUAGUAAUGGUUGCAUAAUCUUAUAUAUAUACUAAAAAAAUAGGACCUACUGCAGAGUUAAAAGAGUGAAUGUUAUGAUAUGUGAAUACCUCAAUUAAAAAAAAUAGGACCUACUGCAGAGGGCCUUAUAUUUUAAGCUGAAGGUACUUAAUGCUGGAGACACCAAGGAGUCACCAAAUGCUUUUAAUAUGCCAGUAAUAAUAAUAAAAUAAUAAAUAAUAUUAUAAUAAGAUAAUAAAUAAUUUUAUAAUAAAAUAAUAAAACAAGAAUAGUAAUGAAAGUGAGAGCAAUAGAUACCAUGGAUUGAGCACUUCCUAUGUGCAUUACCAGCACGGUCUGCACUGACCACCUAUUUAAACCUGAAAACACCCAACAGUCCCGUCUGCAUUUCACACAGGACUUAUUUUGUUUAUUGUUUGUUUCCUUCCUGACUAAAAUGUACGUUCCAUAGGAGCAGGGGAUUUUUUGUAUUUUAUUCACUACUUCAUCUCAAGGGUCCAGAACACCGCCUAGCAUACAAUAGGUACUGAAUAAAUACGUAAGAAGUGAAUGCUGUUGAUUAAGAGAACCUUAGAGGUCACAUAGAACAAGCAACUUGUUUUACAGCUGAGGAAAGGGGGGCAAAUAACAUGUUCCUCCCAUAGGAAUAUAAUGGGUGGAGCUGGGCCAACUGGAGAGGUAUCCAGGGGACUCUUGGUGCCUGCCCUGCAAAGCCCCUUUGAAGGCACUAGCCACAAGCUGUUCUUUCCAUUGAACUUACCUUGCUUUGCAUUGUGUGUGAUGGUCAUGUUUCUCCCACCUAGUAUCCAUUCCCCCCAUUCUCUGAAAAUAGUAUUUUGAUUCCUUAGAGGAAUAAUCCAUGUUGGUUCAUGUGGUUUGGGUGGAACUAGAUGGCAGGGAGACACAUGACCCAGGUCUGACCAAUCAGUGCACUGCAUUCUCUUGGUCACGAUUGGUCCAGUAGGAAGGCACAUGACCCAAGCUAGGUGAGUGAAACUCCAUUAUGGGAUUUUGCUGAAAGCAUUAAGGAGAAAUUCUCACUGGGUUUCUAAGCUGGUAGAAUGAAAGCUUGGAGCUGCUGAUGGCCAUUUUUGCCACUGCUUGGGAAGAGCCUGAGAAUGAAGGGAAUUCAGAGAGAAGCAGAGCCUAGAGAUGGUAGGAAACAGAGGCUUCGUGAUAACGAUUAAACCACUGAAUCCAGCUUUGCCUGAAGAAAGAUCAGUCCCUCUACUCAUAUUAAUUCCCUGAUUUGCUUAAGCCACUUUGAGUUUGGCUUGCAAGGAAGUGAAUCCUGACAAACACAUCAUAUGAUCCUCAUAGCAUGACUACAAUUACUGAAUCAAGAAUAAGUCACCAGGGGCUUCCUUCCCAGGUGGCACAGUGGUUAAGAACCCACCUGCCAGUGCAAGGGACACGGGUUCAAGCCCUGGUCCAGGAAGAUCCCACGUGCCGUGGAGCAACUAAGCCUGUGCGCCACAACUACUGAGCCUGCGCUCUAGAGCCCAUGAGCCACAGCUACUGAGCCCACAUGCUACAACUAUUGAAGCCCAUGUGCCUAGAGCCUGUGCUCUGCAACAAGAGAAGCCACCACAAUGAGAAGCCUGCGCACCACAACGAAGAGCAGCCCCCGCUCACUGCAACUAGAGAAAGUCCAUGCACAGCAAAAGACCCAAUGCAACCAAAAAUAAAUAAUAAAUUAAUUAAUUAAAAAAAAAAAGAAUAAGUUACCAAACCAAAGGCAACUUUUAGAAGGCAACUUAUCCUCCACCAGUUUACACAGAGGAGAGGGAACUGCCACUUCUCAGUAGAAAAACUGCUGAAGCAAAACUUCUGACCUCUUUCUUUACUACCUCCAUGAGAUGAGGAUAGGGUCUGAUGGGUGGAUUCAGAAAAAGAUGCCGAUGUUACUGAACUGAACUCAGGUCCACUUGCCUGAUGCUCAGCAAAGCCAGUCUACUGAAGCCAGGUUGUGGUAAAGAAAGGUACAGCAUUUAUUUGCAGGGCACCAAGCAAGGAGAACAGGCAGCUAGUGCUCAAAAGACCCAAACUCCCCAAUGGCUUUCAGGCAAGGGUUUUCUGUUUUUUGUUUUUUCUCCCUAUUUGUGGCUUAUCUUUUUCACCUCUUAACAUUGUGUCCUUUGAUGAACCAACGGUUUUUUUUUUUUUUUUUUUUUGGCUGCAUUGGGUCUUUGUUGCUGCAUGCAGGCUUUCUCUAUUUGUGGCGAGUGGGGGCUACUCUUCAUUGUGGUGCACAGGCUUCUCAUUGCAGUGGCUUCUCUUGUUGGGGAGCAUAGGCUGUAGGCACGCAGGCUUAAGUAAUAGCACGCAGGCUCAGUAGUUGUGGCUUGCAGGCUCUAGAGUGCAGGCUCAGUAGUUGUGGCACACAGGCUUAGUUGCUCUGCAGCAUGUGGGAUCUUCCUGGACCAGGGCUCAAACCCAUGUCCCCUGCAUUGGCAGGCAGAUUCUUAACCACUGUGCCACCAGGGAAGCCCCCAGGCAAGGGUUUUUAAAGACAACAUUGGGAAUGAGGGUUGCAGGGUGCAUGAUCAGCUUGUGAACAUUUUUCUGAUUGGUUGGUUGUGAGGUAACAGGGUGAUGUUUCGGGAAUCUUCAUCAGCCUUCUGGUUCCAACCGGUCUGGGGUCUUCGUGUUUGUGGUCAGCAUGUUUUCAACAUGCUCCACCUAGGAGGGGAGGGUCUUAAUUUCUGCAGAACAGUUCAAAGAUAUGUGUCAGAUUGUUGUCUAUAUCCCUUUGGGAGGAACUAGGAAUCCUGUGACUCUACUGUUAUAGUCAUUAACUGCUUUAGUCUGCUCUUUGAAACUCGGGGAAGGCCAAACAGGAAGUGGGGUACACGGAGGGGCUUGUACCUGGGAAGGCCCUGCAGGAUCCUGCUCAGUUUCAGUCCCACCUUUUCUUUGAUACUGCUCAAUCCUGAGUGGAACAGGGGUGGGACAAGAAAGGGAAUAAAGUGUUGGAUAGAGAGGUUAAUCAUAAAGGUGGCAGGGGAACUCAGUUUUAGGGGGACUGGGUUUCAAUGAGCAUGUUGCCCAGUCCUUUCUCUUUAUUCUUUCUUGCUGUGGUCUGUCCUUUGGAUACUCGUUUCCUCCUCUGCCAUGGGGAGCCUGUCCCUCUGGAGGAGGCCUGCAGUCUGUGACCAGGUAACUCAGUGUAAUCCAGAUGUGGAUUGUGUGCACAACAAAGCCAUGUUCUCCAAUCAGGCUCAUCAAUAAAGCUGAUACUUGGAGCCCCAGCUGCCUGAUUCAUGCAUCUACAGCUCAGUGGGUUUAGAAUUUGGAAGGGUCAAGAAGGGGGUAAUUAAUUAUCACUCCAUGAACCCCAAACAUGUUAAUUUUCUCUUCAGAAAACCUCAGAGAUGGGCACGAAGGCUGACAUUUGGGGGCUAAAAUAACACAUGGGAUCAGGUUUCUGGUGUAGUCAGGGCUCUAGGCUGAAAGGUAAUUGUGGGUUAAGUGGAUUCUUGACCUGAGCAGUUUGUGACAGCUACAGUUGUUCGGUAAGAUUUUAACUGGCAGGGGCCUGAGUACGAGGGCCUCUGGGGCAGGCCUUGACCUAACCCGUGAGAGUACAGCUUUGACCUCAGCAGGCAGCUGGGACAGAGAUUACGUUAUUGGGAAAAAAGCCUUUCUGUCCCAGGGAAGGCUUACCUUAAAGAGGGUAAAGCUUUAGCUUACAAACAUUUAGGCUCUGAUGGGUAGAAGAUUUUUGCUUCUUGUAUUACAUAUUUCAGCAAAGCUUCAGGCUGGAUUUUAAACAGCAAAGACAACUAAAUUCUCGAGUCAACAGAGAUCUUGCCUGUGAGAUUGUAGCCUUUUUACAGCAUGAACACAGGGAGUAGGUGGAUGCUGCAAAUCUGUUCUUCUGUAGGUCGUCCUGAGCUUCAUUCAGGGUCAUGAGCAGAACCUGUGAAGGGGCUGAUCUCUUGACUCCAUUUGGCUUGUCACAUGCUGGUAAGGUUCACCCCACUACUGUGAUCGAGGUUUGCUCUGAUUUGUUAAUUGCGUAAGCCUUGAUCAUGACUUUGGAUCUGGGGAGCCAAGACCCUGAGUUUACCUGCAGAAUGGGGGCAUAUUUUGUUAGUGGAAACAAACGAAUAGAACAGGACCCUUAUAUAGGAGAUAUGCUUCUUCUGGGGUUGAGGUAGAAAAAGCUAAUGAAAAUCCAAAAGCUAAGAAGGCAGUUAAUGAAGCUUAUGCCUAAAAGACUUUGCCUCUGGGGAACAGGUUUGCUCAGGCAAUAGAGGAAGAACUAGGUUGUUUUUAAAAAUAUGAUUCUGCUGCCUGCCA